UACGUAGGGGGCAAGCGUUAUCCGGAAUUACUGGGUGUAAAGGGUGCGUAGGCGGCACGCCAAGUCAGUUGUGAAACCCGUAGGCUCAACCUACGGCUUGCAAUUGAAACUGGCGAGCUAGAGUACAGGAGAGGAAAGCGGAAUUCCUAGUGUAGCGGUGAAAUGCGUAGAUAUUAGGAAGAACACCGGUGGCGAAGGCGGCUUUCCGGACUGAAACUGACGCUGAGGCACGAAAGCGUGGGGAGCAAACAGG
rnacentral:rRNA from 1 species